AUGAAAAUGUCAUAUCUACAAUCCAGUUGUGAAUCGCGAAUAGGAUAUUGCAGGAGAUAUUGAUGAAAAAACAUCAUCCGCCUUAUGGGAAAGGUUAGAAAUUCUUUAUAUGAUUAAAUAUCUAGCUAACCAUUUAGUGUUGAAACAACAUCUAUUUAUAUUUCGUAUGAACGAACGUGAGCUUCUUAGAGAUCACAUUAGUUAAUUUAUUACUCUUUUGAAUAAUUUAAAAAAUGUUGAGGUUAAGAUUGACAAUGAAGAUCAGGUUAUGCUAUUAUUAUGCUCUUUACCCUCUUUAUAUAAGUCUUUUAAGGAGACCCUGAUUAUGACAGAGACAAACUCCCAUUCAAGGAUGUGAAGGGUCAUUUAUUGAGUAAAGAAAACUCGAUAAUGAGUUUGGUUCAGAUAGCAAGACAGAUAGGCAAGUUUUCAUUAUGGUAGCAUCAAAGAAGCGAGACAAAAGGUGUCGCUAUUGUAAGAAGUUAGGUCACGUCAAAGCAAAUUGUUAUAAACUGCGAAAUAAAAGGGCUACUAAGAGUAACGAGGAAGAUGUAGCUGGUGUUAAUUUGUUCGACGAAAGCGGUGAUGAUUUCUUGUUAGUGUCACGAGCAAUAGCUCCGAGCUUACGUCUGAGUGGAUCCUAGAUUCAGGAUGUUUUUUCCAUAUGUGUCUCAAUAGAGAAUGGCUCUCCACAUACAGUUCGAUUGAAGGUGGAGUUGUGCGCAUAGGAAAUGAUUAAUCCAGUAAGGUAAUCGGUAUUGGUACUAUUAAAAUUAGGAUGCACGAUGGGACGAUUAGGACACUCUCAGAUGUUAGGUAUGUACCUGAUUUACGAAAGAAUCUCAUCUCUUUUAGUAUUUUAGACUCGAAAGGUUACAUAAUCAACAUCGAGUCGAGCGACAUUAAGGUGUCUCAUGGGGCUCUCGUUUUGUUAAAAGGUAAAAGGACCGAUAGUCUUUAUAUUUUGAAAGGUUCUAUAUUGACCGGUGAAAUCGAACGUCCUUUGUCCAUUACGGAGUCAAAUUCAACUCGUUUGGAGCGGAGACAAUUUGGUCAUAUGAGGGAAAAAUGUAUAAUCGUUUCGUAGAAGAGGGGUUCUCUUUUGGAUGUAUGUUUUGAAAAGUUAGGGCACUGUGUUCGUGAAAAUCAGACCCGAGUUAGUUUUGAUUUAGCAGUGCACAAGUCAAAGGUUAGAAGUCUUCCAACUUCUAAGAACAUAUUUGACUCAGUUGAUUCCCUGCAUAGUUUAAGAUAGGUUCGUGGCGGGCUUUGACAAAGAUGGCGUUGUGAGAAUUCGUGUCAAUGUGGAGAUUGUUAGAGUUAUGUGACCCAAAUUCUGGUUAAAUAAAAUAAGAUUGCUUGCAAGUCAAGUUAAAAAAUAUAUUUUCUUUUUAUAAGAUUUAAUAUUUAUUAGUAUAAUAUAUUUAGCAUUUAUUAGCAUAAUUUAUUUGACCUACGAAUUUAGCCUAUUUAAGCUCUUUUACAAUCUUAGAAAAUAUAACCAUUAAAAGAUUAGAACUCAUAACACUUUUUGGAGGAUUUUGUGUUUACAUUUUGAGAGUUCUUUAUUUUUAGGUUUUGGGGUUUAGUUUUUAUCUCCAUCUUUUGUACUCUUCGUUCUUUUUCAUUAUAGUAAAAUUAUUUUUACCCGUAGUUUUUUUAUUAUAUUUGGAGGGGUUUUUACAUGUUAAAUUUGUGUGCUUAAUUUUUCAAUUUCUUUCUCUAUUUUUUACUUGUUUGUUGCUUAAUCAGGUCAAUCCCCAACAAAGGUGUAAGCUUCUAUAUGAAUACUGAAUUGACCAAACUGUUUUUAGCCAUUUAUUGAAUGGUGGUCAGAAAAUCAUGUGUAAUUCAUCAAUGUCUUGAACUAGACUAUGUGGGUUUUGAACAUAUUCUACAUUGUAAGAUGACUUGCAAUAGCAUUCGCAAAAGGGUCUUCUAUUUUUUCACUCACUUUACUAACUUUUCCUUUAUGGAUAGGAUCUUAUGUCUUUAAUGUUGUAUUUUCGUGUGCUGGAAAGGUUCCUUGGUUGCUUGAUUUAGGAAGAUUAUUGAUGGGAUUCAUAAAUGGAAUUUCUGCUUAUUUGGUAUAUGUUAUAAUUAUUCCAUUUCCCAUUUGAUACAUAUAAUCAUAUGAUGAUGGCUAAUGGUAUAAAUAUUUCAACCCCAAACAAUUGCCAGUAUAUCUUGCUAAGUUAACACCGAAGAACCUUAGGGGAAGAUUUACUGUUGGAGUACAGGUAAAUUCUAAACUUAAUAAGAUUUGGGUCACAGUUACUUGGUGCGACAUGUUCUUAACAACUGAUGUUGCAGAUGAUGGGUGCCGUAGGCCUUUCAAUAAUGUAUAUAGUUGGUCUUUUCUCCAAUUGGCGCAUCUUGGCAGGGAGGUAGUUGUGUGAGGUAUAACAUCGUUUAUACAAACGGCAGAAUAGUUUAAGGACAUUGAGUCUACUGGUUGGCUAGUAAAGUAAAUAUACAUUCACAAGGGAAGGUUCAAGGGUUGAUGCCUACCUAUCUUAUGCAACUAUUGAUCGUAGAUUCUAUCACCACAUCGAGUCAAUGUUUUUCAUUAAAACUAUUAAUUUUCAUUUAUGUGGGGGAUUGUUGGAAAAAAUAUAUUUUUUGAAAACUUUGAGGCAUAUUCAAGAUUAGUAAAAGUGGAGAUUUGAAUCAUAAAAUUAUGAUUUUAUAUUCUAACCCAUGAGACCUUUACAACGAUAUAUCAUAUACUCAAAAUGGUUGAGUGAUGAAUGAGGAAUUGAUGCUCAAAAUAAGCCACUUGUGAAUUAUGUUGAGGAAAAUGGAAAGCUUAGUCCCACAUUGGUUAGUUAUCAAGUAUGGAAUAUGUUUAUAUAUAUGAACCAACUUGGUAGUUAUUGAAUGAUUAAACUAAUGCUCUCCCUCGCGCAUAGGGGGUGUAAAUCCAAACCUGUCGGGGUUGGGGGCGCACCCACACUUAGGCUUAUGGAUAUUUUAGCCUAAUACGUAAUUUUAUUUUUCUUAGCAGAGUUUAUCUAUUUAGAAUUAAAAGAGUAUUAAAAGGAGUUAAUGGCUCAUUUAAUUCAAACAUUAAUUUGGGUUUAAUGGCUUUUUAAUUCACGAACGUUAUUGGCUCAUUUAGUCAAAAUUUCCAAAAGUUCUUCAUUUGAAUUUUAUUUAAAACCAAAUAAUCUGCAGGAAAAGGUACACACAAAAUUUUCCAAAAUUUUGAGAGAUAUUUUCCCUACAUAUUUUUUGCACUAUUUUCAGUGAUAGACGAAGGCAAGGCUACAAUUUGUUGAUCACUGCAACCAUGCUACUAUCGUGCUCAUCUCGUUGUUGCAUCUUGGGAGAUAGUCGACCAACGUUUCUCUAGCACCAAAGGAGCGACCAAAUCUGUCUUAAAGAAACUGCCAAAACAGACCUCAACUACCAGUGCAUUUUUC
rnacentral:lncRNA from 1 species